GACGAACGCUGGCGGCGUGCUUAACACAUGCAAGUCGAACGGAAAGGCCCUGCUUGCAGGGUACUCGAGUGGCGAACGGGUGUGUAACACAUGGGUGUUCUGCCCUGCACUUCGGGAUAAGCCUGGGAAAAUGGGUCUAAUACCGGAUAGGAGCCAUCUUUAGUGUGAUGGUUGGAAAGUUUUUUCGGUGUAGGAUGAGCUCGCGGCCUAUCAGCUUGUUGGUGGGGUAAUGGCCUACUAAGGCGGCGACGGGUAGCCGGCCUGAGAGGGUGGACGGCCACAAUGGGGCGAAGAUGCGGCCCAGAAGCCUACGAGGGGCAGCAGUGGGGAAUAUUGCACAAUGGGGGCAAGCCUGAUGCAACGACGCCGCGUGGGGGAUGACGGCCUUCGGGUUGUAAACUCCUUUCGCUAGGGACGAAGCUUUGUGUGACGGUACCUAGAUAAGAAGCACCGGCUAACUACGUG
rnacentral:rRNA from 1 species